GAACUAAUUUCUGAAUAUGUGGAUUUCAUCAAGGACCCAGACCAUAAACUUGCGUUGUUUGACUUGUGGGAGAGUGGUUACCUUCCCAAACCGGGAAUAAGGUAUCGUCAAAGCAGAAAAGCAUAUGAUAUUACAAGGAAGGCCAAUGGUUUAUUGCAAAGGGCAAAUUUUGACACAUUUUCUUACUGGUCUGGUCCACCUUCCAUGGCUGCCUUUUUCUCUAACGUUGGUUAUGAAAGCUUUCCAUCCAGAGAAGAAACGAUGAAAAAAAUCAUUGCAGAAUUGGAAAAGCCAAGUGUUAGAAUGAUUGGUCUUCAUGGGUUAAGUGGCAUGGGCAAGACUACUUUAGUCAAAGAAGUUGUUAAAGUAGCCUUAGAAGCUAAGAAGAUCGACGUAGUGACCAUGGCAAGCGUGACAAGAAAUCCUGACAUAAGAAAAAUCCAGGGACAAAUUGCUGACUCGUUGGGGAUUAUAUUGGAUGAGGAAAGUGANGUUGCAAGAGCUGCUAGAAUACANAAGAGAUUAAAGAANGAGAAGGAGAAGACACUUAUAAUCCUAGAUGAUCUUUGGGAAAAGGUGGACUUCAAUAUGCUUGGGAUCCCAUAUGAAAUACAUAAUCAUACAGGCCUAAAAAANGUUAAAGAAGGAAAAUCCGUCCAUGUUGAUAGCUUGAUGAAUCAAAAGGAAGGAAGUCCUAAAGAACCCCAUGGUGCUUCGGAUGAGUUGAAGACUGAAAAAACUCGUAGUCAGUACAAAGGGUGCAAAGUUUUGUUGAUUUCUGAAAGCAAAACGGUAUUAUUAACUCAAAUGGGAAGGAAAGAAAACUGUGUUUUCUGUUUGGAAGCCUUGAAGGAGAAGGAAACAGAGAUGCUGUUCAAGAAAAUGGCUGGAAUGGGAGACUAUAAUUCUAAAUUUCAGAAGUUAGGAGCUCAAAUUGCGAACAAGUGUAAUGGGUUGCCAAUGACAAUUGUUACAACUGCAAGGGCCUUAAAAAAACAGAGCCCCUUUGUAUGGGAGGAUAUUCUUCGAAAACUUGAAUGGCAGAAGUUAACUGGAGCACCUGAGCUGUCAACAAAGUUGAGUUAUGAUCUUUUAGAAGACGAUGAACUCAAGUAUACUUUCUUACUUUGUGCUCGCAUGGGUCAUGAUGCAUUGAUUAUGGACUUGGUCAAAUAUUGCAUUGGUUUGGGGUUCCUUCAAGGGAUCUACACAGUGAGAGAAACCAGAGACAGAGUUUGUACCCUUGUUGAAAAGCUGAAAGAAUCGGGUUUGUUGUCUGACAGCUAUUCAAGGGAUCAAUUUACCAUGCAAAAUAUUAUUCGCAAUGCAGCUUUGUCAAUAGCAAAUAAGGAAAAACAUUUAUUUACAGUGACAAAGGGAAAGAUAGAUGAAUGGCCCGAGAAACUUGACGAGUAUGCUGCUAUUUCCUUGCAUCAUUGUAACUUCAUUGAGGGGUUUCCUAGGAGAAUAAAGUACCCAGGACUUAGGGUCUUCCAUUUCAACAAUAAUGAUCCACAUCUCAAAGUACCCACAAAUUUUUUUAAAGGAAUGAAGGGACUCAAAGUGUUGAUAUUGACUGGCAUUCAUCUCUCCCUCUUAGAAUCAUCAGUUUCAUCCUUGAUAGAACUCAGAAUGCUUUGUUUGGAGCAAUGCACGCUAGAAGAAUUAUCCAUCAUAGGAAUGCUGAAAAAGUUAAGAAUUCUUAGUUUUUCAAGAUCUGAUAUCGAAAAAUUGCCAGUUGAAUUGCAAAAGUUGAAAAAACUACAAAUUUUUGACUUAAGUAAUUGCUCUAAACUUAAAGAAAUUCCAUCAGGUGUCAUUUCAAACUUGGUAUGCUUGGAGGAGUUGUAUAUGAGAAAUACCUUGAUUCAUUGGGAGAAGGAAGAACUUACACGUCAAAGUAAAAUAGGCCUUCUUUCUGAGUUGAAACACUUGAGCCAAUUGACAACUCUAGACAUACAAAUCCCAGAGGUUUCCCAUUUGCCGAAAACCUUGUUCUUUGACAAGUUAUAUAGUUACAAGAUUGUUAUUGGAGAUUUGAGUGCACUCUUAGAGACUGAUUUCAAGAUUCCAGAGAUGUAUGAAACAUCUAGAUUUUUAGCAAUACGAUUGAAAGAUGGGUUUGACAUUCACUCUCUAAAGGGGGUCAAAAUGUUGUUUGAAGGAGUUCAAAGUUUGCUUUUGGAAGAACUUAAUACUGUCCAUGAUUUAUUUUAUAGAUUGAAUUUAAAGGGUUUUCCAUAUCUAAAACAUCUGUUUAUUGUAAAUAAUUUCACCAUUCAAUCUCUCAUCUAUCCGAAAGACAGACAACAGUCACAACACCCUGAGAAAGCGUUUCCUAAACUGGAGUCAUUGCAUCUCUAUAAUCUUAAGAAGAUAAAAAAUAUAUGCUCCUGUAAACUUUCUGAACCCUCCUUUGGUAAACUGAAAGUCAUCAAGAUCAAUCUCUGUGGUCAAUUGAAGAGUGUGUUCUCAAUUUCUAUGGUAAAUCUUUUAACUGCUCUUGAAACAAUUGAAGUUUCUGAGUGUUACUCUUUGACGGAGAUUGUCUCUGUGGAAGAAUCACAAAGCAAUACUCAGGAAUCCAAACUGGUGUUCCCUAAAUUACUGUAUUUGAAGCUACAAUCUUUGUCUCUGUGUGGUAAAUUUUAUUCCAUAACGGAGGAAAAACUCUUCAAUGAAAAGGUUGAUGUUUCAAAAUUAGAGAGAAUGGAGUUGUCCUCAAUUCCCAUUACCGAGAUAUGGAAUUAUCAUCAUUCAAACAGGUCCUUGUUUAAAAAUUUGACACAUUUGGAUGUUAAUGGUUGUUGGAAACUAGAACAUCUAAUAUCUUUUUCAAUGGCCAAGUGUCUGGGAAGCCUUCAAAGCCUUUUUGUAAGUGAAUGCGGAAAUAUGAAAGGCAUCUUUCCUGAUAGCAUGCAGAUGGAGGGUGACAUCUUUCCAAAAUUGAAGAAUAUCAAAUUAAGUAGCAUGAAGAGUUUGCGCAAGAUAUGGCCCUCAGACCUCCCUUCAAAAUCCUUUAGCAAACUAGACACACUAAUCAUUGAGAAGUGUGAUAAAUUAGUCAGUGUUUUUCCUCAUUAUUAUGAGGGAAUAUUUCACAGUCUAUGCAACCUGACUGUUACAAAAUGCACGCAAAUGCAAACAAUAUUUGACACAUAUGAUAAAAUGCGUUAUGUUGGGGUUGUUAGCUUGCAAGAUCUUCAUUUAGAAAUACUCCCAAAUUUGAAGCAUGUAUGGAAAUUGGAAAAGGGUAAAGGAGGGAUUCUUGAGUUGAAGAAUCUGCAAAAGAUAAUGGUUCAAAAUUGUUACUGCUUGGAAAAUAUAUUUCCAUUUUCUGUAGCUGAGAAUCUUGGUAAUCUUGAAUACCUUGUGGUGAGUUAUUGUGUUGAAUUGAGGGAAAUUGUGGCCAAAAGUGCGGCUGUCAACACUGCUAAAUUAUUAUUCAAGUUCCCUAAACUAAGAAGCAUUAAAUUUUCAGUCCUACCACGACUUACAAGUUUCUAUCCAGGAGCUUUUCAACUGUGUUGUCCAACAUUAAAUGACCUAUCUAUUGAAUAUUGUGACUUGCUGGAACCAUUCCAGAAAGAAACUGUAGAUGUAGAAGGAAAAUGUGUCCUCUUUUCUGAAGAGGUACUCAACAAGUUGAAGUCGAUGCAAAUUGAGUCUUGGCAUGCAAAGUCACAAAACAGUUGUAUGAAUGAAGGGAAUCAUCGAAGAGAUAGUUUAGAAGAGCUUUGUUUAUCUAGAUUAUCGGAUACUGAGAUCUUAUAUUCUUUUCUCCAUAGCAACCCAAAUCUGGAAAGCCUAUCCUUGAGUGAUUGUUUAUUUGAAGAGAUAGUGCCUCUUGAAAAAAAUACAAAAAUUGAAACACUGGGAGUAGUUCCAAAGCUGAAAAACUUGAAGUUGAUAAACUGUAAACUUAAAGAUCUGGGCUUUGAAGAAGACAUAAUUCUUAGAAGGGUAGAACUCUUGCUUUUAAAAAGAUGUCCUUGCAUGACAACAGUGGUGUCUUCUUCGACAUCUCUCAGUAGCUUAGUGAAUCUUGAAGUUGAUAACUGUGAUGGAUUAGAAAAUCUAAUGUCACCAUCUACUGCAGAAAGCUUAGGUCAACUCAACACCAUGAAGGUAACCAAAUGUAAAAAUCUAAUGGAAAUAGUAGGAAAAGAUGCAGGGAAUGCUAGCAAAGUUGUUUUUAAAAAAUUGAAGACCCUGGAGCUUGUUUCUCUAAAGAAACUCCAGAGCUUUUGUAACUCUGAGAGUUGUGAAUUUGAGUUUCCUUCGUUGGAAAGACUAGUGGUGAGUGCAUGUUAUAAUAUGAAAAAAUUUUCUGACAAGGUCACGAGACGAAGCACACCCAUUUUACAAAAUGUAUAUGCGAUACUUGAACAAGAGAAGAAAAGAUACUGCUGGGAAGGUGACUUAAAUGCCACAAUACAUAAAAUGUUUCUGGAUAAGAAAUUUUUUGAAGGCAUGAACAUGAUGAGUUUCUCUGAUGACGGAAAGCUAAAACAAGAAAUGAUGAGUUUAUCUGAUCACCUAGAACUAAAUCGAGCCUGGCUAGGUGGUGAAGUUGAUCCCCAAAGUAUUCAUAGUUGGUUCUACAGUUUGAAAGUUUUGAAGCUUGAGAAGUGUGAAAUUCAGCAAUGUGCAAUUCCAUCUAAUAUUCUUCCUUAUUUGAAAAACUUAAAUGAACUGAUGGUGCAAGAUUGCAACAAUGUAGAAGUAGUUUUUGAGAUGAAUGUCACACAGGGAACAGGAACAACAUUCCAAUUGCAGAAAUUAACUCUAAAUCGACUAUCAAAGCUUAAGAAUGUGUGGAAAGGGAAUGGUGAAGAAACUCGCAGCUUUCAAAAUCUGCGGGAAGUGGCUGUUCUAGAGUGUCACAUGAUGCAAACUUUGUUUCCUGCAGCCCUGGUAAAAAAUCUUAAGAAGCUUCACACACUUAUGAUUGGACGUAGUUGGGGGUUAGAAAUUGUUGGAAAGGAAGACAAUGCAGCAUUAGCAACACAGAAUUUGGUGUUUCCUUGUUUAACUACAUUAGUUCUUGUUGACCUGCCAGAGCUCAAUUACCUUUAUCCAGAACCAUUCACCGUGGAAUGCCCCGUGUUAAAAUUUUUAAGAGUGUUAGAUUGUCCGAAGUUGGAUCUGUUUCCUCGUUUCUUAGAUCUAAAAACGGUCGUUGCCAACCUUGAGCAAUUGGUACUCGAAGGGAAACACAGUUUGGUGUUAGAGUCAAGUUUACAAGAUCUUGAGUACUGCUUUGAGGAUUUAAAUUCUAUUUCUCUGCGAUUUGAUGUUGAUGAAAAUGAAAAGUCUAAUUUGCCUAUUCAAAUACUCCAAAGGGUGCCAAAUUUACAUGAAAUGAGUAUAAGUUCUUGCCAUUGCCUAGACGCAUUCCGCACUGAAAUUUCUGAAAUGAAUAAAAAGGUGAUGCUUACAGACUUGAAACGUUUGGAUCUGAAUGAUGUAUGGGAGCUCAAGUCUAUUGGAUCGGGGGAUGUUCCAUGGUUAGACAUGAUUUGUAAGAAGCUCCAUAGAUUAUAUGUUGCCAAUUGUCCUCGUUUCAUGGCAGUAAUGCAUUCCCCUUCUGCACAGUUUUUCUCCUGUUUGAAAGUGUUGUCUGUAUUCAAUUGUCAAAGAUUGGAGUAUUUAUUCACAUCAUCAGCAGCAGAAAAGUUGACUCAGCUUGAGCGUAUCCAUCUGUACAAAUGUAGAUCGAUAAAAGAAAUAGUGGCAAAAGAGCAAGGUGAAACAACUUCAGGAGGGUUCAAAUUGCAGCAGCUACGCUGCGUAUCUUUGUCUUAUUUAUCAAGCUUGGAAUGUUUUUAUUCUGGAAAUCGCACUUUGCAGUUACCCUCUUUGAUAGAAGUUCGCAUAAUUGAGUGCCCCAAGAUGGAAAUUUUCUGUAAAGGAUCAAUGGGUCCCAAUUUGUGUAAAGAAAUUAGAACUUCCUAUACCUCAAAUAAUGGAUUGGUCAUCGUGCAUGAUGAUCUUAACUCCACUGUCAAAAAGGUGUUUCGACAACAGAAUCAUAUAGUUUUCGGGGAUUCUCGUAUGUUGCAAGACAUAUGGAAAUCAGUGACACUCCCCGAAGGGUAUUUCCACAAUUUAACUUCUAUGGUAGUUGAAGGUUGUGAAUUUUUAUCAGAUGCAAUACUACCUUCCCAUUUACUUCAUUUGCUCAGUAACUUGAAAAGGUUGCAAGUGCGGAGAUGUAAUUCUCUAAAGGCAGUAUUUAUUCAUACUAAGAUCACUAAUAUGGGACCUCAAGGAAGUCUCACUCAUCUGGAAGAACUUCAUGUGGAAAACUGUGUAGAGUUGGUGGCAAUUGUUGCAAAGUUUGAAGCAGAAAUUGAUGAAGCUAAUAAAGAGAUAACUAUAUUCUCCACCAUAACCUUGUUGAGGCUAUCGCAUUUGCCAAAACUAAGGUGCAUAUAUCCCGAAAUGCACAUGUUAAAAUGGGAUAUGUUAAAAGAGUUGCAUGUUGAACAUUGCCAAAAGCUGAAGUUUUUUGCAACAGAGUAUCAAAACUCUAAAUAUUUAAAUCAAGAUCAUCAAGAUAGGGUUUCAACAGCUCAGCAAGAAGUUGUCUCUCUUGAAAAGGUUACUCCCUGCUUGAAGGUAAUGUCACUUGGUAAGGAAGAAGCAGUGAUGAUUGAGCAAGGAAAACUUCAGAUCGAUCUCCCAAAAUUAAGCUCGCUCAAGUUGCAGUGCUUUGAUGAUGAACAAGGGGAUGCAUUUCCAUUUAUUUUUGGUUCGAAGAUGUCACUGUCACUCCCCACUAUCAAAAAGCUUGUGUUGCUUCAUUGUGCCUUCAAAGAGAUAUUCCCCACUCAAGCACUAGGCAUGGAUUGUACUAAAAUCCUUUCACAGCUUAAAACAUUGGAGCUUGUGAGUCUCUCCCAACUUAAAUCCAUAGGAUUAGAGCACUCUUGGGUAAUGCCCUUACUACAAAAUCUAAAAACGUUACUUGUUAGGGACUGCCACUAUUUGUCAAACUUGACACCGUCCACUGUGUCUUUCUCUAACCUGAUAAAGCUUAAUGUAAAGCAUUGUAGUAAGCUGAAAUACUUGUUCACGUUUUCAACUACUAAAACAUUGGUUGUAUUGAAGGAGAUUUACAUAACCAAUUGUAAAUCGCUGAAAACGAUAGUGGUUGAGGAUAGAGAUGGAGGUCACCUGAUUGAAGAUAAUGAGGUAGAGGAGGAAGGAGAAGGUGACGGUAAUGAAGAUGAUGAUGAAGAGGAGGAGGCACAACAUGAGAGCGAAGACAAAGAAAUCGAUGAUGAUGAUGAUGAUGAUGAUGAUGAAGACAAAGAAAAAAUGGAUGAAGCUAAAACUAAUGCUGAAGGUGGUGGAGAUGAAGGUGAAAAUGAGGGUGGCAAUGAUGCAAAACAUGGUAUGGAGAAGGAGAAGGAGGGAGAUGGUGCAGGUGAAGAUGACAAGAAUGAAGCUAAAGCUAAUGUUAAAGUUGAAGGUGAUGGAGAUGGAAAUGAAAAUGAAAAUGCAGGUGAUGGUGUAAACGAUGGAAAUGAAUGUGAAGAUGAGAUUACAUUCAAGAAGCUUGAGAGAUUGACUCUUAGAUCAUUACCAAAACUUAGAAGCUUUUACAGUGGGAUUUCCACUUUGAAUUUUCUAUCCUUGGAAGAAGUGUCGGUUAGCAAAUGCUGCACUGCAAAACUUUUCUGUCGCGAUGACAAAAUUCCAAAGAAAUUAAGAGUGAAAAUAGAUGACUGUAAACGUGAUAUGAAUUUUGUGAAGAUGCAACAAAUGAGGCAGAGGCAUCAUGAGUAAGUAUAUGACAACAGAUUCCCUUGACUUUUCUUGUUGAGCAUGUGGUGGUUGUAAACCUUCUAUAUGAUCUAAUGGUUUGAUGAAUCAGGAGAAUCUAAAAUGCAAUAAUAUGAUAAGGGCAUAGAAUCGUGACAAGAACUAUCAACAACCGGAGGUCUUUUCUUUUCUGUUGAAGUGUGGUGGUGCUCGGGAAUAAAGGUCACCUAUAUAAUAUGUAUUCCUCUAAAGUUAUAGAAUGGUGUUUGUGUUUUGUACGUAAAAUGACCCUGUAUUUAUACAGUAGCAGAGGUGUGUAUGUUUUGGAACUUCAUGCAUUUCUACAGAUGUUGUGUAUGAUUUGCAAGGUCUAUGGUGUUUCAUGACUAAUGUUUCUUAGACAUGUAUUAACUUUUGUAUAUAAAAUGCUUCAAAAACACACUAUUUUCUUUUUAUG